GACGAACGCUGGCGGCGUGCUUAACACAUGCAAGUCGAACGGAAAGGCCCUGCUUUUGUGGGGUGCUCGAGUGGCGAACGGGUGAGUAACACGUGAGUAACCUGCCCUUGACUUUGGGAUAACUUCAGGAAACUGGGACUAAUACCGGAUAGGAGCUCCUGCUGCAUGGUGGGGGUUGGACAGUUUCGGCGGGUGGGGAUGGAUGCGCGGCUUAUCAGCUUGUUGGGGGGGUAGUGGCUUACCAAGUGUUUGACGGGUAGCCGGCCUGGGAGGGGGACCGGCGACAUUGGGACUGAGAGACGGCGCAGUCUCGAACGGGAGGCAGCAGGGGGGAAUAUUGCACAGUGGGCGGAAGCCUGAUGCAGCAACGUCGCGUGCGUGAAGACGGCCUUCGGGUUGGAAACCGCUGUCGCCUGUGACGAAGCGGGAUUGACGGUAAUGGGUAAAGAAGCACCGGCUAACUACGUG
rnacentral:rRNA from 1 species